rnacentral:tRNA from 1 species
GCCAAAGUGGCGGAAUUGGUAGACGCGCACGACUCAAAAUCGUGUUCCUUCGGGAGUGUGGGUUCGAUUCCCACCUUUGGUA